GACGAACGCUGGCGGCGUGCUUAACACAUGCAAGUCGAACGGAAAGGCCUUUUCGGAGGUACUCGAGUGGCGAACGGGUGAGUAACACGUGGGUGAUCUGCCCUGCACUCUGGGAUAAGCCUGGGAAACUGGGUCUAAUACCGGAUAGGACCGCACUUUAGUGUGUGUGGUGGAAAGUUUUUUCGGUGUAGGACGAGCCCGCGGCCUAUCAGCUUGUUGGUGGGGUAAUGGCCUACCAAGGCGGCGACGGGUAGCCGGACUGAGAGGUUGGUCGGCCACAUUGGGACUGAGAUACGGCCCAGACUCCUACGGGAGGCAGCAGUGGGGAAUAUUGCACAAUGGGCGCAAGCCUGAUGCAGCGACGCCGCGUGGGGGAUGACGGCCUUCGGGUUGUAAACUCCUUUCGCCAGGGACGAAGCGUUUUGUGACGGUACCUGGAGAGGAAGCACCGGCUAACUACGUGCCAGCAGCCGCGGUAAUACGUAGGGUGCAAGCGUUGUCCGGAAUUACUGGGCGUAAAGAGCUCGUAGGUGGUUUGUCACGUCGUCUGUGAAAUUCCACAGCUUAACUGUGGGCGUGCAGGCGAUACGGGCUGACUUGAGUACUGUAGGGGUAACUGGAAUUCCUGGUGUAGCGGUGAAAUGCGCAGAUAUCAGGAGGAACACCGAUGGCGAAGGCAGGUUACUGGGCAGUUACUGACGCUGAGGAGCGAAAGCAUGGGUAGCAAACAGG
rnacentral:rRNA from 1 species